rnacentral:rRNA from 1 species
GGUUGAUAAGUUUGAAGUGAAAUCCUAUAGCUUAACUAUAGAACUGCUUUGAAAACUGUUAACCUAGAAUAUGGGAGAGGUAGAUGGAAUUUCUGGUGUAGGGGUAAAAUCCGUAGAGAUCAGAAGGAAUACCGAUUGCGAAGGCGAUCUACUGGAACAUUAUUGACGCUGAGACGCGAAAGCGCGGGUAGCAAACAGGAUUAGAUACCCUGGUAGUCCACGCCCUAAACGAUGUACACUAGUUGUUGUGAGGCUCGACCUUGCAGUAAUGCAGUUAACACAUUAAGUGUACCGCCUGGGGAGUACGGUCGCAAGAUUAAAACUCAAAGGAAUAGACGGGGACCCGCACAAGCGGUGGAGCAUGUGGUUUAAUUCGACGAUACACGAAGAACCUUACCUGGACUUGACAUAGUAAGAACUUUCUAGAGAUAGAUUGGUGUCUGCUUGCAGAAACUUAUAUACAGGUGCUGCACGGCUGUCGUCAGCUCGUGUCGUGAGAUGUUGGGUUAAGUCCCGCAACGAGCGCAACCCUCGUCAUUAGUUGCUAACAGUUCGGCUGAGAACUCUAAUGAGACUGCCUACGUAAGUAGGAGGAAGGUGAGGACGACGUCAAGUCAUCAUGGCCCUUACGUCCAGGGCUACACACGUGCUACAAUGGGGUAUACAAAGAGCAGCAAUACGGUGACGUGGAGCAAAUCUCAAAAAUAUCUCCCAGUUCUGAUUGUAGUCUGCAACUCGACUACAUGAAG